rnacentral:rRNA from 1 species
AUUGAACGCUGGCGGCAGGCCUAACACAUGCAAGUCGAGCGAGCGGCGGACGGGGGAGUAAUGUCUGGGAAACUGCCUGAGGGAGGGGGAUAACUACUGGAAACGGUAGCUAAUACCGCAUACACUCCGAUGUGCCAAGAUGGGAUUAGCUAGUAGGUGGGGUAACGGCUCACCUAGGCGACGAUCCCUAGCUGGGAUGCGAGGAAUAGCAGCCACACGGGAACUGAGACACGGUCCAGAUUCCUAGGGUAGUCAGCAGGGGGGAAUAGUGCACGAUGGGCGCAAUCCGGAUGCAGCCAUGCCGCUUGUGUGAAGAAGGGCUUUGGAUUGUAAAGCACUUUAAGUUGGGAGGCGUUACCAACAGAAUAAGCACCGGCUAACUGCGUGCCAGCCGCCGCGGUAAUUC